ensembl:snRNA U7 U7 small nuclear RNA
GAACGAUUACAGCUCUUUUAGGGUUUGUCUAGCAGGUUUCCUGAUUUUUACUGAAACCAAA